AUGAACGCUGGCGGCGUGCCUAAUCCCUGCAAGUCGAGCGAACGGACGAGAAGCUUGCUUCUCUGAUGUUAGCGGCGGACGGGUGAGUAACACGUGGAUAACCUACCUAUAAGACUGGGAUAACUUCGGGAAACCGGAGCUAAUACCGGAUGAUAUUUUGAACCGCAUGGUUCAAAAGUGAAAGACGGUCUUGCUGUCACGUAUAGAUGGAUCCGCGCUGCAUUAGCUAGUUGGUAAGGUAACGGCUUACCAAGGCAACGAUGCAUAGCCGACCUGAGAGGGUGAUCGGCCACACUGGAACUGAGACACGGUCCAGACUCCUACGGGAGGCAGCAGUAGGGAAUCUUCCGCAAUGGGCGAAAGCCUGACGGAGCAACGCCGCGUGAGUGAUGAAGGUCUUCGGAUCGUAAAACUCUGUUAUUAGGGAAGAACAUAUGUGUAAGUAACUGUGCACAUCUUGACGGUACCUAAUCAGAAAGCCACGGCUAACUACGUG
rnacentral:rRNA from 1 species